GAUGAACGCUAGCUACAGGUUUAACACAUGCAAGUCGAGGGGCAGCGGGAUUGAAGCUUGCUUCAAUUGCCGGCGACCGGCGCACGGGUGAGUAACGCGUAUCCAACCUUCCGUACACUCAGGGAUAGCCUUUCGAGAGAAAGAUUAAUACCUGAUGGUAUGAUGAGAUUGCAUGAUAGCAUCAUUAAAGAUUUAUCGGUGUACGAUGGGGAUGCGUUCCAUUAGGUAGUAGGCGGGGUAACGGCCCACCUAGCCUACGAUGGAUAGGGGUUCUGAGAGGAAGGUCCCCCACAUUGGAACUGAGACACGGUCCAAACUCCUACGGGAGGCAGCAGUGAGGAAUAUUGGUCAAUGGACGAGAGUCUGAACCAGCCAAGUAGCGUGAAGGAUGAAGGUCCUACGGAUUGUAAACUUCUUUUAUAAGGGAAUAAAACCUCCCACGUGUGGGAGCUUGUAUGUACCUUAUGAAUAAGCAUCGGCUAACUCCGUGCCAGCAGCCGCGGUAAUACGGAGGAUGCGAGCGUUAUCCGGAUUUAUUGGGUUUAAAGGGAGCGCAGACGGGUCGUUAAGUCAGCUGUGAAAGUUUGGGGCUCAACCUUAAAAUUGCAGUUGAUACUGGCGUCCUUGAGUGCGGUUGAGGUGUGCGGAAUUCGUGGUGUAGCGGUGAAAUGCUUAGAUAUCACGAAGAACUCCGAUUGCGAAGGCAGCACACUAAGCCGUAACUGACGUUCAUGCUCGAAAGUGUGGGUAUCANACAGG
rnacentral:rRNA from 1 species